rnacentral:rRNA from 1 species
UACAGAGGGGGCAAGCGUUAUUCGGAAUUAUUGGGCGUAAAGGGCGCGUAGGCGGCUUUUCAAGUGACGGGUGAAAUCCCUCGGCUUAACCGAGGAACUGCCUGUCAGACUGGAAGGCUUGAGACCGGGAGAGGUGAGUGGAAUUCCCAGUGUAGCGGUGAAAUGCGUAGAUAUUGGGAGGAGCACCAGUAGCGAAGGCGGCUCGCUGGGCCACACCUGACGCUGAGACGCGAAAGCUAGGGGAGCGAACAGG